GUUGAGAGGAAGACCCUGCUUUGUGAAAAUAUAAGAGCAAUUAUAACCCUGUCAUGGAGAAACAGUGGAGCCUGAACUGAACGGUAAAAGUGCAGUAUUGAUGAGUAUCCUUAAUAGAAACUCAUAGAAAGCUCUGUAGCACACAGAUAAAAAAUGGCUGUUGUGUGUGUUCAUACAUUUGAUUUCAGAGACGGUGUAUUUGUGGUCCUCAGUGCUUGAACACGCCUGCUGUUUAUAGCUCAUAUGCAUGAGUAUAUAUGUCUGUAGCAGUAUGUAUGCAUGUGUUGGAGGUGUGUGAGUGUGACUGUGUGUGUGUGUGUGUGUGAGGUGAGGUGAGGUGGGGGGGGUGUAUAUGUGCAGGAAGAGAGCCUGUAAAUAAAUCUGUUUGGGGAUUGGGGGUGCGGGGAUGAAAUAUGGUCCCCGGGAUGUGGAGCAAUGUGAAAAACUCGGCAACGCCAGGGAAUAACAAAUCUCCUGAUGUCGCCUCGCCGCAAAAUAAAUACACUCCCCCGUACAAGUCAUCCAUCUGGACUAUGAGCCGCAACAAAGACGCCCCCAAUACAUCCACAACACACACACACACACGCACGUCUACACAUACACCCGACAACCAUCCCACACAGCAGCCAUAUUUAUUUACAUGUUUAUUUAUUUGUUUCUAUGUUUGUUGAAUUAAAUGGUUGCUAGCAUAGUGGAAAGCCUAUCUAGUUUUUUUUUUUUUUUUGUGAAUGAAACAUGAUUUUUCUCCCCCACUAAGCACAAACUAGCCUUACAAUGAAAUGUCUGGGUCUUAAUGUGUGGGGGAUGUUUGGUAUGUUGAUCAGGCGUUUUAACUAAUGAUAGAUCACAGGGGAUUAAAUAAUUAUACUUCAGCCUUGACAAUUUAAAAGUUCCCCCACACGUGGUUGACUGAAUAAAGACGGGGGGAAAGACUCAGCCUACAGCAAUGUAUCAGAAAGAUUACACAGCUAAUACAUUACAAGGAGAGAGAGUGAGUGUGUGUGUGUGUGUGUGUGUGUGUAAGCGUGCACAUAUACUCUGCUGUCGUUCCCUGACAUAUAGACUCCAGUAAGUACAGUACAUUCAACUAAAGCUUGCAAGCCCACCAGAUUCCUCUUCUCUUUCCCUUAUCUGGGCCUCUUCUCCCAGCCACUUCUAUUACCACGACCAUACAUCACUAAAAGCGUCUACAUGCUGCGAUUACAUACCCAUGUUUAACAAAUAAAUAUCCCCAAAACAGCACAAAGUGUCCGCUGCUACAAUAGAGGGUUGAGAUAUUUUCCAUUUAGUUGUUUUUUUAAGGGUUUCUUUCCAAUUAAGGCCUUUUCUUUUGGCUUAAUUAGGUCAUAAUGAGGUGUGAGUCAUGUUUGUGUGUGUGUGUAUGAGUGUGCGAAGGGGUCAGUAUGCACCCCCUCGCAUGGAUAAAUAUUAGCCCUUGUUGUUUGCAAAUAGGUGAUGUAUGGCGGCCAUAUCUCUCUGUGCUGAAUGUUUUCAGAAAUUUCCUCUCUUUUAUCAAUUGACUAACAAACCCAUGAAUCACUGCCACUCUCUCCCACGCGGCACAUAAAUUAAAGAACCAUCUUUCUUCUCUCACUUUCCUCUCUCUUUUCUACUUCUCUCGUUUUGAAACGACUGUUUCAUUACCGCUUUUGGCUUUUUUUAUUGUUUUCUUACAUUUUACCUGUUUCACAAAUCUACAGUGUCAGCAUUACUGUUGUUUAAACAACACUAAUGCCGUUGUUACAUACAUCUCAAUCGCGAAUUCGCUUCCAAUGUGCUGGAGAUAAAAAAUAACAUAACCUCCAGCACAUUCUUUCAUCUACUCAUCAUUUGGCAUACUUCAGGUGAUAAUUGUGUGUAAAACUAUGUUUACUCAUUUCUGUUUAUUAGCGUUUCACUCUAAAACUGCUGUCUUUCAGACGGACGCUGGGUAAAGAGCUACAGGCUGGAGCUGGGUGGCUUCCUCUCCGUCACGAGCCGAUGACAGGAGGGUCGAUUAUGCCACAGCGCCAUAUUGUAAACUACUCAUCAUUAGCGGGGCCCAUCCCGGCUAACGACCGCGCUGGAGAUAAACAG